rnacentral:rRNA from 1 species
AACGAACGCUGGCGGCAUGCCUAACACGUGCAAGUCGAACGGACCCUUCGGGGUUAGUGGCGCACGGGUGCGUAACGCGUGGGAAUCUGCCCUUUGGUACGGAAUAACGCUUCGAAAGGAGUGCUAAUACUGUAUGAUGUCUUCGGACCAAAGAUUUAUCGCCUGAGGAUGAGCCCGCGUUGGAUUAGCUAGUUGGUGGGUUAAAGGCCAACCAAGGCGACGAUACAUAGCUGGUCUGAGAUGAUGAACAGCCACACUGGGACUGAGACACGGCCCAGACUCCUACGGGAGGCAGCAGUUGGGAAUAUUGGACAAUGUGCGCAAGCCUGAUCCAGCAAUGCCGCGUGAGUGAUGAAGGCCUUAGGGUUGUAAAGCUCUUUUACCCGGGAAGAUAAUGACUGUACCGGGAGAAUAAGCCCCGGCUAACUCCGUGCCAGCCGCCGCGGUAAAAC